UCCGAUGUCGUUGUAAACAUGUGCUCUCACAAGCAGCUGCAACCAUCCACUAACAUAAAGGAUCAGCACUCACAUGCAGAAAUUCGCAAUCCCCAUUUUUUUCGACCCGGCUUGCGGGGAAAUGGGACAAAUUUUGUGUACUAGUUGGAUUGUUGGGGUCAAACUGUGAGUGAACUAACGCAGUGGAUGGGGAGGGAGGAAUCGGGCUGUUCUGUUACAGGUCAAUUUGUGCCACAUGUUACAAAGGGGGUGUAACCAAGGGGAAAGGAGGGGUAAAAACUCGCCAAUUUUAUUUUAUGUAUUUUAUGAACGUUCCCAGAGGUAUGCAUAAAUAAGAGUUAACGCUGCGUCUCAAACUUCCAAUUUGAUAGAGGCAGGUUGAGACAGUCUUAAAGUUUGUGCUUUCAACUUCCGGUUCUUAAUCAAUAAAUCAGUUUAGCAUCUUUAAA